rnacentral:rRNA from 1 species
AUUGAACGCUGGCGGCAGGCCUAACACAUGCAAGUCGAGCGAGCGGCGGACGGGUGAGUAAUGCUUGGGCAUCUAGCUUAUGGAGGGGGAUAACUACGGGAACCUGUAGCUAAUACCGCGUACCAUAGGAUGAGCCCAAGUGGGAUUAGGUAGUUGGUGCGGUAAAGGCUCACCAAGACGACGAACCCUAUCUGGUCUGCGAGGAUGACCAGCCACACUGGGGCUGAGACCCGGCCCAUACUCCUCCGUGAGGCAGCAGUGGGGAACGUUGCGCAAUGGGGACAACCUGACUCAGCCUGGCCGCGUGGAUGAAGAAGGCCUUCGGGUUGUAAAGUUCUUUCGGUGGCGAGGCGUUAACUACAGAAGAAGCACCGGCUAACUCCGUGCCAGCAGCCGCGGUAAUAC